UGAAGCCGCGACAAUAUUCCUCUCCUUUCAAUGAAGCUUCUUCCCUCUCCCCCUCCCCCAAGAAUCCUCGGCUAAAUCGUUUGUAAUUUUUUAAAAAUCUCCCUCUUUCAGCCGCUCCGGUUUAGCACGCCUCCCUGUUUAUUUUCCAGCUCCGAGAGUGGUUGUCUUCCUGUUCCCCACCACCACCACCACCCUUUUUAAUAUUUUGCACGGUGCCAAGCUUGGGAGUUUUCGCAUAUUCGCCUCCCCUUUUCUGCAGCCUCCCUCCCCAGCCCCAUCAGAGGAAAUAUUACAAUGUUGCAAGCUGACGUAAGGACAUUACAAGGAAAGGGCUACAUUUCGGAGUGUUUAUGAAAAGCUUCGGUACUGUACUGUCACCAGGGGGCAUGCAAUAGAAUGCAUUUCGUCCAACAUUUGGGAUAAUGAUCAUUUAGAAACCACUACGACCAAAAACAAAAAGAAAAAGAAAAGAAAGAAAACGAGAAAAAGAGCGAGCGAGCGAGCUUCCAGUGAGCUUUGGAACCGGCGCCAGGCAGAGGAGCCAUGCAGUCAAACUUUCGGGAACCCUUGGUUAUUUUUUCUGACAUUGCAGCUCGCCCUUGAGGAUCGCUUACUGAAUUCUCCGGAUUUUGUUUUGCUUCUUUUUCUUCUCCCUCCACCUCUCCCGCCGUCUCCAGGCCCGGUUGAUUUGCUUCCCUGUGGCAAAGGAGGAGAGAAUCGAGCGAGCUCCCUAACAGCGAGGAAGCCGCAGCAAAACGCCCUGCCUGCUCGCUUCUCUCCGCUGCCUGCCUGGCUGGCUGGCUGGCUCGCUCUCCCACUCGGCUCGCUUGCCUUGGGAUCCAGUGUUGUUUUGAAGGGAGCUAACAUGGCGACGGUGCCCGUCUAUUGCAUCUGUAGGCUGCCCUACGACGUAACCCGCUUCAUGAUCGAGUGCGACGCCUGCAAGGACUGGUUUCACGGCAGAUGUGUUGGUAUAGAAG